CCUACGGGAUGCAGCAGUGGGGGAUAUUGCACAAUGGGGGGAACCCUGAUGUAGCGACGCCGCGUGGGUGAAGAAGCCCCUCGGCGCGUAAAGCCCUGUCAGCAGGGAAGAAAAUGACGGUACCUGAAGAAGACUCCACGGCUAACUCCGUGCAAGCAGCCGCGGUAAUACGUAGGGGGCAGGCGUUAUCCGGAUUUACUGGGUGUAAAGGGGGCGCAGACGGUGAGGCAAGCCAGGAGUGAAAGCCCGGGGCCCAACCUCGGGACUGCUCUUGGAACUGCGUGGCUGGAGUGUAGGAGCGGCAGGCGGAAUUCCUGGUGUAGCGGUGAAAUGCGUAGAUAUCAGGCGGAACACCGGUGGCGAAGGCGGCCUGCUGGACUGCAACUGACGUUGAGGCCCGAAAGCGUGGGGAGCAAACAGGAUUAGAUACCCUUGUAGUC
rnacentral:rRNA from 1 species